rnacentral:rRNA from 1 species
UACGUAGGGUGCGAGCGUUGUCCGGAAUUAUUGGGCGUAAAGGGCUCGUAGGCGGUUUGUCGCGUCGGGAGUGAAAACCCAGGGCUUAACUCUGGGCUUGCUUUCGAUACGGGCAGACUAGAGGUAUGCAGGGGAGAACGGAAUUCCUGGUGUAGCGGUGAAAUGCGCAGAUAUCAGGAGGAACACCGGUGGCGAAGGCGGUUCUCUGGGCAUCACCUGACGCUGAGGAGCGAAAGUGUGGGGAGCGAACAGG